GUGCACGAAGUUCAGUUCCACAAACACUUCAGCAAUUACGGACAACGAUACAUCUGAAUCCGAAUGGAGCUCCAAUGGAAUAUGAAAAUUGUGAUACAACUCGUAGUAAUUGUCUUGCGCUGUAAAGGUUCCUCAGCUGAUACUACAAGGAAGCUCAGUGUCUUGCUAGGCACAGAUGUGACUGUCAGCUGCCUGUUCAACAAACUGUCCAAGCUGGUGGAGUGGAGUGCUCUCACCGUUGAGUGGAACAUGGUGGAUAAACAUGCAGAGAAGAACAUUGUGUACACCUUAGAGGAUGGGAGAGCACAUGUAAACAGAGAUGGCACUGUUGUGGAUAAAAUGGGGUUGCUUCAAAGCAAUGCAUCUCUGCAGCUACAUAAUGUGACUGUGGGAGAUGAAGGGCUGUACACCUGCAGGAUCAUCACACCUGUGGUCUACACAGAGACCACUUCAUUGGAAGUGCUGGCUCGGCCUUCAGUGUCGCUCCCAGAAAAGGCAGUAGUGACAGACGGAGAGGAGAAAACCAUACAGUGUGACAUAACAGGUUUCUACCCAGAGAAACUGGCUGUGACAUGGCACAUUCAAAAUGGCUCCCACACUGUCCAUGGAGGCGUAAGCCACCUCUCCCGUGUCUGCACUGAAAUGGCCGUUCACAAUCCAGAUGGCACCUUCAGUAUUCGCAGUGGCAUCACACUACACUCCUCAGCAGUAAAGGAUGGAGAGAUUCGCAUCAUCUGCCAGGUGGAUCACCACACCUACAACUGGCCCUACAACAGAUCUGUUAGACUGACUGUUGAAGCUCCAUCACAGCCCCUUUACAGUGCAGGCACUCUGAUAGCUGUCACUAGUGCCAUCAGUUUGCUGCUGGUAACCGCUGUUAUUGGGGGCACUCUGCUUCUCUACAGGUAUUUCUGCAAAGCUCCACCAAGUGUUUCUGAAAUCAGCCAAUCUAGCAUCAUAUAUGCUCAGGUGCCAACCGAACUCAAAUGCACCAUCCAAGGAGCAAGACAGCGAGAGAUCACAGUGAAGUGGUCUAAACUAAGGAGCAGUGCAGACUCAGUGUUCCAGUCUGAAUCGGUUUCUCUGUUGGUCAGUGAGGAUCUAAGCGAGCAGGCUUGUCUCCAUUCCAAUGGGAAACAGCAUACAUCUGUCCUGACUGUGUGUCUGACUGUGACUGAAGACCUAAACAAAUACCAGUGUGUGGUGCUGUGCAGGGGGAAGAGCUUCAACAGAGAGACCACAGUCAGGGUAAAAGUGGAGCCAUCUUUCCUCCAGAUCUCCAGCAUCCCUCAGAUUCCCAAAGUGGAGCGGCUGCUGGUUCUCUGCUGUCGGGUGGAGAAGUUCUAUCCCCAGGACAUCAACUUGGAGUGGUCCAGGAACGACGGGGAACAGGUCCACACCGUCAUUCACUUUGGACCAUUCUCUGACCACAACCAACUCUACAGUGUGUGGAGUAAGAUCCAGCUGGUCAUGGCCAGAGAGGAUGAGAGGGCCAUCUACACCUGCCGUGUGUACCACUCCAGCUUCACUGCUCCGGGCUACAAAGACGUCCUGUACCACAUCAACACUCAAGGGACUCCUCCUAAUGUGAUGUUCAUCAACUGUGAACCAUUGUGUCCUCUGCUGAGUGAAGAAUGUAUACUGUACCUGUGCAUCAAAGAUUUCUGUCCUGAGGACGUGUCAGUAACUUGGACUAAAGACGGAGAGACGUUUCUCUCCGGCGUCUUCAACACUCCCCCCAGCCUGAACAUCAAUGGCCUCUACUCCAUGUUCACUUUUCUCAAAAUCAAUCCCAACAAGGAUGACCAGGGCUCCAAGUUCAGGUGCCAGGUGGUCCACAGUGCUCAGAGGGAGCCUGAGGAGAGGCUCUUCACACUUCCAAACCUGCACCUGACAGACAACUGCUGAUGUCACUGGGUAAACUGUUACAUUUCAAUCUAGUAGUUUGAUUGGUGCAGGUCAGUAGAGGUAAAUCAGCAUCUGGGAAAUAUGAUGGGCCUUUUGAUAAUAUAAUUUCUGGUCCAGUCAUUACUGUCCACCUCUGAUAUGACGGACAUGAUGGAUCUUUCUUCUCCAAGCAAUAA